ensembl:lncRNA
GCCAACAACUCAGCUUCUCACUAGCCACAGGGCUGGCGGCUGCCAUGGGCUCAGCACGGAUCCCAGACCACUUGCAUCACUGCAGAAAGUUCUACUGGGCAGCACUGGCUGAGCCAUCACUUCUGCCACAGAGCCAAGAACUUGACACAGUCACCCUCAGAAAAGCAAAGUCAGGCAGACUUGACUCCACCUCCUCCCGGGCCGGGGCUUCCUAUUUCUAGGAGCGACAGCAGUUCUCUGCUGCUGGAGAUGGACAGCCUCAAGUUCCUUCAGGGUCCUUGAGCUCCAAGGCAGGUAUGGGAACCAUGCUGUUCUCCCUGCGUCCAGCCCUCUGCCCAGCUCCCAGGAUGGGAAGGGAAGAAAAGACAAUGUCACCUUGUCCCUUAGGAAACACUUGUUCAAAGUUAUGUGUCCACAGCAGGGCAGACUGGAGUGCACGCUGGCCAGAUGGAGAGCUGGCCAAGUUCCUUCCCUGGGAACACUGAACUCCUGGGCUCAGCCUCCAGCUCCUGCUCAGAGACCAGUGUCAUCAAUGAACUGAGGUCUGAGGGCAACCCAGCAGCCGGUUGCUCUGUCCCUUAAAAAAAAACAAAAAUAGCAGAGACUUCCGCUCCAGAGCCUAUGCGUGGAGCCGAGCCACCGCCUACCUUGGGCGUGGGAUGAAACCCUGGGGAAAAGUCCCGACUGCGUGAAUGCCCAGAGCUGCUGGAGACCAGAGCUGUGACCUCUUGGAGUUCGCAGGACCAUCUUCCUUCCAUGGAGGCUCUUAGGAAGGAGAAUUAGCCUAGUAUAAGCUGCAGCUGCUGCUGCUUACAGUAACAGCAACGACAAUAAUAGCAUAGUGGCACUUUCACUUUUCUUCAUCAACUUCCUUAAUUCUCACGGCAACCCUGCCUGGAAGUUCUUCUCCUACCUUCAUCCUGCAGAUGGGGAGACUGGCUUUGUUGUUGUUUAGUCACUCAGCCGUGUCCAACUCUUUGGGACCCCAUGGACUGUAGACCGCCAGGCUCCUCUGUCCGUGGGAUUCUCCAGGCAAGAAUACUGGAGUGAGUUGCCAUUUCCUUCUCCAGGAGAUCUUCCUGACCCAGGGAUCGAACCUGUAUCUCCUGUGGCUCCAGCAUUGGCAGGCGGAUUUUUUACCACUGAGCCACAUGGGACGCCCCCUAUGAAU